rnacentral:misc_RNA from 1 species
ACCAACUAUGUGCUGGGGCUCCUUCUUCUUUGAGAGAUAAACUUAAGCUGAAAGGUGCUUCGGAGUACAACUUUCUCAACCAGAGUGAUUCGUUAGAGAUCCAUAAUGUUGAUGAUGCAAAAAAGUUUCAUAUGCUUGUGAAAGCCCUAAACACUGCGGGGAUUUCUGAAAGAGACCAGGAACAUACUUUUCAGAUGGUUGCUG